rnacentral:rRNA from 1 species
AGGUCAGGGUGGGCACACUACAGGGAGGGCCGGUACCAAACCGGAAGAAGGGGGGGUUGACGUCAAAUCAUCAAGCCCCUUAUGACCUGGGCUACACACGUACUACAAUGGCCGGUACAACGGGAAGCGAAGCCGCGAGGUGAAGCCAAUCCCAUCAAAGCCGGUCUCAGUUCGGAUUGCAGGCUGCAACUCGCCUGCAUGAAGUCGGAAUUGCUAGUAAUCGCGGAUCAGCAUGCCGCGGUGAAUACGUUCCCGGGUCUUGUACACACCGCCCGUCACACCACGAGAGUUUACAACACCCGAAGUCGGUGGGGUAACCCGCAAGGGAGCCAGCCGCCGAAGGUGGG